AUUGAACGCUGGCGGCAUGCCUAACACAUGCAAGUCGAACGAGUGGCGGACGGGUGAGUCAUGUCUGGGAAACUGCCCGAUGGAGGGGGAUAACUACUGGAAACGGUAGCUAAUACCGCAUACCAUCGGAUGUUCCCAUAUGGGAUUAGCUAGUAGGUGGGGUAAAGGCUCACCAAGGCGACGAUCCCUAGCUGGUCUGAGAGGAUGACCAGCCACACUGGAACUGAGACACGGUCCAGACUCCUACGGGAGGCAGCAGUGGGGAAUAUUGGACAAUGGGCGAAAGCCUGAUGCAGCCAUGCCGCGUGUAUGAAGAAGGCCUUCGGGUUGUAAAGUACUUUCAGCAGGGAGGCGUUACCCGCAGAAGAAGCACCGGCUAACUCCGUGCCAGCCGCCGCGGUAAUUC
rnacentral:rRNA from 1 species